rnacentral:rRNA from 1 species
CCGAUCAACCCAAAUUUUUAUCCAGGUUGACCUCGGAUCAGG